AUUGAACGCUGGCGGCAGGCCUAACACAUGCAAGUCGAGCGAGCGGCGGACGGGUGAGUAAUGUCUGGGGAAAUGUCCGAGGGAGGGGGAUAACUACUGGAAACGGUAGCUAAUACCGCAUAUCAUAAGAUGUGCCCAGAUGGGAUUAGCUAGGAGGUGGGGUAACGGCUCACCUAGGCGACGAUCCCUAGCUGGUCUGAGAGGAGGACCAGCCACACUGGAACUGAGACACGGUCCAGACUCCUACGGGAGGCAGCAGUGGGGAAUAUUGAACAAUGGGCGAAAGCCUGAUGCAGCCAUGCCGCGUGUGUGAAGAAGGCCUUCGGGUUGUAAAGCACUUUCAGCGAGGAGGCGUUACCCGCAGAAGAAGCACCGGCUAACUCCGUGCCAGCCGCCGCGGUAAUAC
rnacentral:rRNA from 1 species